AUUAAGUAAACUACUUUAACGCUGUAGAAGAUAGUUCUUGAUGACAAAGUGACACUUCCCUUGUUUCUUUUGAUUGAGAGAAGGCCUGGGACUUUCAUUAGUCCCUGAUUAGAGUUUUCAAGGCGUCCAACUAUUGAUUGCAUAAAAUUCCUUUCCUGUCAUUUUCUGUAAAUGUACACAAUAGCUACUAACACAUCCUCCUCCAGAGCUCACACUUUGUUUUCUAGGAGGAAGACAGAUAUUCGGCUAGCAAUCUGACCUUUAGAAUUCCUACAUGAUGUUAAAAAAGAAUUGUCUGUUACUUAAAGAUUUUUUUCUACCUACAACAGAGCUGAUAUUUAGAACUGAAAUUUCCUAGUAAUUAUAGCACAUUUGACAUUUGGUGAUUUGUGGUGUUCCGGUCAUCUUCGCACUAGAGGAUUCCUGAUGCUGAUUGUGGAUGGAUGUCAGUUCUGAGGGUUGUUUGAAAGGAAGGGCAGUUAGAGCAGGCUACUAAUUGCACUGACCUUGGCUUCAUUUAUGGCAUCUAAGAACAUGAAGUGGGAAUGCAGAUGGUUAUAUUUGUUUUUUUUUUUUUUUUUUUUUUUUACCUCAUGAUGCAGUAUUCUAAAUGGAUUAUCUGAUAAAGUUCCAUCUUGAGCACUAA